rnacentral:rRNA from 1 species
UACAGAGGGGGCGAGCGUUGUUCGGAAUUACUGGGCGUAAAGGGCGCGUAGGCGGCCAACUAAGUCAGACGUGAAAUCCCUCGGCUCAACCGGGGGACUGCGUCUGAUACUGGAUGGCUUGAAUUCGGGAGAGGGAUGCGGAAUUCCAGGUGUAGCGGUGAAAUGCGUAGAUAUCUGGAGGAACACCGGUGGCGAAGGCGGCAUCCUGGACCGAGAUUGACGCUGAUGCGCGAAAGCCAGGGGA